GGGGGGGGGGGGGGGGGGGCCGGGGGGAGGGGGGGGGGGCGGGCGGGCGGGGAGCUGGCGCCGCUGACGUGAGCGGCGGACGGGGGAGUAACGCGUGGAUAACCUACCUCUAAGACGGGGAUAACUUCGGGAAACCGGAGCUAAUACCGGAUAAUAUAUUGAACCGCAUGGUUCAAUAGUGAAAGACGGUUUUGCUGGCACUUAUAGAUGGAUCCGCGCCGCAUUAGCUAGUUGGUAAGGUAACGGCUUACCAAGGCAACGAUGCGUAGCCGACCUGAGAGGGUGAUCGGCCACACUGGAACUGAGACACGGUCCAGACUCCUACGGGAGGCAGCAGUAGGGAAUCUUCCGCAAUGGGCGAAAGCCUGACGGAGCAACGCCGCGUGAGUGAUGAAGGUCUUCGGAUCGUAAAACUCUGUUAUUAGGGAAGAACAAAUGUGUAAGUAACUAUGCACGUCUUGACGGUACCUAAUCAGAAAGCCACGGCUAACUACGUG
rnacentral:rRNA from 1 species